GGGUGGGUAAGAAUGGUGACCACCCUAAAACUGAGAUGGUUCCAAUGCCCAUAAUUGAAGAACCCGUUAGUCGAGUCGCUGUAGACUUAAUAGGACCCCUAGCUCAUCCCAGUCACUCAGGUAAAAGGUACAUACUCACUCUAGUCGACUUCGCCACUAGAUAUCCUGAAGCAGUAGCAUUGUCUAACAUUGAGGCAGAGACAGUGGCGGAUACCCAGUUCAUUGCCGCUGUGACCCAGCAGUUGUGGAAGGUCUGCGCGAUAAAACCCCUGACUAGCUCCCUGUACCAUCCCCAGACCAAUGGUCUAUGCGAGCAGUUCAAU